rnacentral:rRNA from 1 species
AGCAGUAGCCGCGGGAAUACGGAGGGGGCUAGCGUUGUUCGGAAUUACUGGGCGUAAAGCGCACGUAGGCGGCUUUGUAAGUUAGAGGUGAAAGCCUGGAGCUCAACUCCAGAAUUGCCUUUAAGACUGCAUCGCUUGAAUCGCGGAGAGGUGAGUGGAAUUCCGAGUGUAGAGGUGAAAUUCGUAGAUAUUCGGAAGAACACCAGUGGCGAAGGCGGCUCACUGGACGCGUAUUGACGCUGAGGUGCGAAAGCGUGGGGAGCAAACAGGAUUAGAGACCCCCGUAGUCCCUGUCUCUUAUAC